AACGAACGCUGGCGGCAGGCCUAACACAUGCAAGUCGAGCGGACCUUUCGGGGUCAGCGGCGGACGGGUGAGUAACGCGUGGGAAUAUGCCCUUCUCUACGGCAUAGUCCUGGGAAACUGGGGGCAAUACCGAAUACGCGCUUUGGGGGAAGGAUUUAUCGGGGAAGGAUUAGCCGGCGUUGGAUUAGGUAGUUGGUGGGGUAAUGGCCUACCAAGCCGACGAUCCAUAGCUGGUUAGAGAGGAUGAUCAGCCACACUGGGACUGAGACACGGCCCAGACUCCUACGGGAGGCAGCAAUGGGGAAUCUUAGACAAUGGGGGCAACCCUGAUGUAGCCAUGCCGCGUGAAUGAUGAAGGCCUUAGGGUUGUAAAGCUCUUUCAGCUGGGAAGAUAAUGACGGUACCAGCAGAAAAAGCCCCGGCUAACUCCGUG
rnacentral:rRNA from 1 species